rnacentral:lncRNA from 1 species
AUGGCCAUAAUUCGGUGCUUCGAAAUGUGCUCAAAUAGGAUGUUAAAAAACAUUAAUUUGAGUAGAGUAGUAGUGAAAAAUUGGUAUAGCAGUAAAACAGCUACGGAUAUAGAAAAAGGGAUGAUAAAAAAGUUAAUUCAUAUGAAUGGUAAUAAUAUAAGUUAUGGAAUAAAAAAAAGUGUAAAAAAUGGAUUUAUUAAUAAAAAUAUGUUUAAUGUUUAUAAUGAAUUAGUCAUAAAAUUUUCUAAAAAUUUUAAUUUUCAUGAUGUAGUUAUAAUAUUGCAAGCAUAUGCUUUAUGUAAGGAAAGAAAUUUUCGAAUAUAUUCUUUAUUGUCAAACAGAACUUUAUAUAUUUUUAAAAAUAAAAUAAUAGAAGAUGAUAUAAAUUGCUAUCAUAAUAUUUAUAAAUAUAUUUUGGCUAGUAAUCAAUUAAAUUAUACAGAUUUCGAAUUAAUGAUCAUUUUUUUAAAAAAAAUUAAAACAAAUUUAAAUUUUUAUAACAUAAAACAAAUAAGUAUUUUAUUACAUUCGUUAGCAAAACUUAAAAUAAAUGAUGAAGAAUUGUUACAAAUUUGUAACAAAUAUAUUUUAGAAAAUUUUGACCUUAUAAAAUGGAAUUAUAUUAAUCAUAUAUUAUCAGCUUAUUCAAAAAAAACAAAUAGUAACUAUAGUGAUCUUUGCUUUAAUUUAAUUAAAUAUAUUUAUGAGAAUAUAAAAAAAAUUGACUCUAUUACUAUAUAUAAUGUGUUAAUACAAAUGAAAAAUGUUUUAGAAAAUAUAAGAAAAGAUAUAAAAUAUAGUACCUAUUUUUUAAAUGAUCAGAUGGAAAACACAGAAGAUAGUAAUGGACAUACAGAGUUUAGUAAUAAACCAGUAAAAGAUAUGGUUGACAAAGUUUUUGAUGAAAAUGAUAAGAUUUUAACUAAACAAAACUAUUCAACCGAAUCAAAAAAAAAUAUUAAUGAAUACUGCUAUUUAGAUGAUAACUCUGUAAAAACAAUUUCGAAUAAUAACUCUCCAAAUUAUACAAAACAUGUUUUAAAAAAUAUCAUCCCUUUAUUAUUUACAAAAGUAAAUAUAUGUAUCCCAUUUUUAUCAGUUAAACAAUUAAUAAAGUUGAUAAAAACGUAUAAAGAAUUAAAUUAUUUUAAUUAUAUAUUUAUAUAUAAAAAAAUAUUACAUUACUUGUUAAGUAAGUUACAAAAUAAUAAAAUAAGUUUAGAAGAAAACAUAGAAAUAUUAGAGUUUUUUACAAUCUUACCUUUUGUUAAUGAUACAAUGGAAACUAUUAUAAAUAUAAUUACAGAACAAAUUGAAAAUAAUCUUGUAUAUAAUUAUAAUUAUUUAUGUCGUUUAUUAUAUUGUUGUGAUUGUUUAUGUAUUCACAGUGAUAAUAUAUUGUCAAAAAUAGAUUGUUUAAUUUUUAAAGAAAAAAAAAAAUUUGAAAAAGAUGCUAAUUUAAAAGGAUUACAGUUGUUUCUAAAAAUGUAUAAUAAAGAGAAUGGUAUGGAAUGGGGUGAUAUUAUAAAACUUUUAAAUUUGUUAAUAAAAGAAAAAAAGUCAUCUACAACUAUUGAAAAAAAUAUUGAAAAAAAUAUUGACAAUAGUACAAUCAAUCAUAAUAAUAAUACUAUAGUCAACAACAGUACCGACAACGACAAAAGCACGUGUGAUGAACAUAUACAAAAACAGCAACACAACAAAGUAAUCAUAUAUAAAUAUAAUAAAAUUGAAAAAAAAAUUAAUGAAAAUGAGAUAAAUUUAUUAAACAAUACUACCGAUUUAAUGUAA